UGGUCAUAUCAUGUUGAAACACCAGUUCUUGUAUGAUCACUGAAGUUAAGCAACAUGGAGCCUGGUCAGUACCUAGAUGGGUGAUCACUUGGAUAGACCUGGUACUGUAA